UACGUAGGGAGCAAGCGUUGUCCGGAAUCAUUGGGCGUAAAGCGCGCGUAGGUGGCCUCAUAAGUCCGCUGUGAAAGUCAAAGGCUCAACCUUUGAAAGCCGGUGGAUACUGUGAGGCUAGAGUACGGAAGAGGCGAGUGGAAUUCCUGGUGUAGCGGUGGAAUGCGCAGAUAUCAGGAGGAACACCGGUGGCGAAGGCGGCGUUCUGGACUGCAACUGACACUGAGGAACGAAAGCCAGGGGAGCAAACGGG
rnacentral:rRNA from 1 species